UGGGGAAUAUUGCACAAUGGGCGCAAGCCUGAUGCAGCCAUGCCGCGUGUAUGAAGAAGGCCUUCGGGUUGUAAAGUACUUUCAGCGAGGAGGAAGGCAUAAAGCUUAAUACGCUUUGUGAUUGACGUUACUCGCAGAAGAAGCACCGGCUAACUCCGUGCCAGCAGCCGCGGUAAUACGGAGGGUGCAAGCGUUAAUCGGAAUUACUGGGCGUAAAGCGCACGCAGGCGGUUUGUUAAGUCAGAUGUGAAAUCCCCGGGCUCAACCUGGGAACUGCAUUUGAAACUGGCAAGCUUGAGUCUUGUAGAGGGGGGUAGAAUUCCAGGUGUAGCGGUGAAAUGCGUAGAGAUCUGGAGGAAUACCGGUGGCGAAGGCGGCCCCCUGGACAAAGACUGACGCUCAGGUGCGAAAGCGUGGGGAGCAAACA
rnacentral:rRNA from 1 species